UGCGCAGAAGAGAUGACACGGU
rnacentral:miRNA from 1 species